rnacentral:rRNA from 1 species
GAUGAACGCUGGCGGCGUGCUUAACACAUGCAAGUCGAACGAUGAAGCCGGAGCUUGCUCUGGUGAAUUAGUGGCGAACGGGUGAGUAACACGUGAGUAACCUGCCCUUGACUCUGGGAUAACUGCGGGAAACUGUAGCUAAUACCGGAUACGACCCUCGGAGGCAUCUCCUGGGGGUGGAAAGAAUUUCGGUCAAGGAUGGACUCGCGGCCUAUCAGCUAGUUGGUGAGGUAACGGCUCACCAAGGCGACGACGGGUAGCCGGCCUGAGAGGGUGACCGGCCACACUGGGACUGAGACACGGCCCAGACUCCUACGGGAGGCAGCAGUGGGGAAUAUUGCACAAUGGGCGCAAGCCUGAUGCAGCAACGCCGCGUGAGGGAUGACGGCCUUCGGGUUGUAAACCUCUUUUGGCAGGGAAGAAGCGAAAGUGACGGUACCUGCAGAAAAAGCACCGGCUAACUACGUGCCAGCAGCCGCCGUAA